CGGACACACCCUCUUCUCCCCACCUCCCAGACGUAAGAGCGAAUCCGCUCGCCGACUGAAGUGCACAUCAGCGUUCACUACUCGAUCACGAGAGGCUGCUGCGGCGUGUGCGCACCCAUUCGUUCUUUUUCGCUUUUUUUUUCGAUAUUGUCUCCCUUGAUUUCAUUCUAUCCGAGUUGCACGUUGCCAUCGCCGCAUACACGCACACAUACUCUCCCUCCCUCCCUCCCCCUUCCCCCAAGGAGACGCAAAAGAAGAAAAACAAAAGAAAAACCGACAGGCUGCGCGUGCUCCGUUUUCUGCCCACUUGUGCCUCGCGUGUCGUAUACGAGAAGGUACUCUGCUUUCAAACGCAUCAACCUUCCCACCCACCACCACCACUCCUCCUUUACCAUCACUCGCGGACUAGAGAGGAUCUGCGUUUUUCUCUUCUGUAAAGCAUUUUCUUCGCAGGUUUCUUUGCCCUCUUGACUCACUGUAAGAGGUGCGUAACUGCGACCGGACAAGGACGCACAAAGAAAGGGAGAGAGGGAGCGCGCACCUGCUAAUACGUCGAUAUCGCGUAUCAAGGGAGCAAGCAACAACAACAUUGAAGGAGCGCAUCCAACGCCGUCCCAGUCCUACAUCUUGUAGAGACGUGACGACAGGCAAACACCGCUAAAGGCGACGGACACGGUGCUCUUGCCCCCCCUCCCUCCCCUCUCCUUCUUUCUCCCCCGUCAUCAGCUCUCGCCUCUUGCACCCUUCUCUUUCGCUGCUUUUUCUAGUCCUUAUUAUUUCUCACCCCUCCCCCCUCACUGCCCCCUCACCCCUCACCGCCCAUUUUUCCCACCCCCUCGUCGUCCUCCUCCCCCUCGCCCUCCGCUUCCCUUCUCCUUGUACGCGUUGCUUUUAGUAUACAAACACACAUCUCUUUCUCUAUAUACAUAUACAGUAUUAUUUUUUGAAUAGUUUUGCGUUGCCGCUGCUUUCUCCACCACCCAAGAAAGAAUCGGGGGCGUGCGCUGUAUUUUUGGGGCCAUCCCGGUGGUAACUGACGGUGUGUGGGAGCGGGGCGCUCUUCGUAUUUGUUUAGUUUGUUUUGCCUUUGCUUGUGUGUUGGUUGAUUUCCACCGUGUCGAGCAGCAGCUGAAAAACCACAGAGGGAGGCCUCAUCGAAACGGAAAAAAAUAACCAAACAAUUUGCCGUCCGUGUUUCUUUUUCGAGUGUAUUCAUUGUGUUUGCAUAGCAGCGCGUGCUUUUCGCGUCCCGCGCCGGCGUGCUCGAGGCUGUUCUCACUGAUGUGUGUCGACGGAAGAAAGAUCGAUUUCAGUCCUCGCUUUCUUUUUUUUUUCGCUUGCUUUUUCCUGCUCAGCACGCUGUGCUGUUCUCUGGGUAUUUGCCUUGGCUGUUGGGAAACGCGCCUGCUGCAUUUACGUUUUUUUUUUUUAGCGGUGCUGCCGUCGUGGGUGCAUAGUCCUUUUAUAAGCCAUUUUGCGGCCAUUUUUCUGCCUUCCUGAGAUCGAGACGAAUUGAACUGCCGCUUCCUUGGUGUCUCGCGGUUGCGGAGGACGGAGGGGGUAGGGGGCUUUCGACGCACGCGGCGCGCAACAAGAAUAGGAGCACGUUCGGCACCCGCUUUCAGUGCAAGCUUCUCUUUCCCCAUCCUGUUGCGCUUUUCGUCCAUACCGCAAACUCGCUUAGUAAGCCUCCACACAGACAAGCCUUCAACGGCAAUCAUGGGUCUCGUGCCCUCCCGUGAGUCUCUCUACGAGACUCCGGCAGCCGCCUCGCAACCGCGCGCACUGCCCUUCAUCAGCCGCGCAGCGGAAAACUACAUGUACAAGACGAACCGCACGGAACGUGUAUUUGGCUCUGGCAUGGCGUUGGGCUCUGCCGGAGACGCGCCGAGACCAACGGCGCUGCUGAAUGGUGUGCCAACCGCUGAACUUGCGCACAAGAUUAUGGAGGCUGACCCGAACGCCGUAUUUAUCGAGGACCCGGCAGAGGCGACCGCGGCGGUGGCUGCGAGCCGAGGAAGCCGUCGAGGCUCUGCCAAAAGCACUGAAAUGCAGUGCCGAGGCCGCGACGCCGGUACCCUAGCGCUGGAGACCCCCGCAGCAGAGGCGCUCAGGCAGGGCAGGGUGCCGUAUGUGUACUAUUACGAACACCGCGUGCUUCCUCUCACCACGGAGUUCUUCCCCUCCCCAGAUUGUGUGCUCUUCCGCCAGCUGUGGCAUGCACGAAAGCAGCAGAACCCGCGGUACCACUUCCAGCUCGAUCACACGUGGUCGCCUGGGGCUCUGACAGACCCGACGGCAGUGUAUGAGUCCUUUACUGAGCUGGCAACGCGCAACAUGGCUGACAUUCAAGCGGCCUGCUUGUCAGCGGGGCAGCCGGUAGCAAAGGAGAACCUUGCACAGGCGCAGGGGCAGCUGCAGGCGGCCAUGCGUGCCUUGAACGGCGGUGGCGUCGAUAUGGGGCACUGCGCCGCUUCAUCCGCAGGAUCUCAGCGCACUCGAGUACCAUUCGCCACGCGCGAGGAGUUUUACAGCCUCGUCGUCCUCACAACAAAGGAAUCCGUGAUAUAUGAUACUAAUCAGGAGCUGCGCGCCGCCGUCUGCGGCGCGGCAACGUCUGGUGAGGCGAUGCGUAAGCGCACCGAUAAUGCCGGUAAGGAGCCUGCAGCAGAGGAAAGCAGUAAAGCGGAAAGAGAUCGUCAGCGCUUGCGUCCUGUGCCGUGCGCCGUUGUCCUCGUUCGACGCUGCAUGCCUGCGCACGAGUACCGGUACACAUACUUUGUCGCGAACAACGAGCGCCAUCACAAGGCAAGUGCCGGCGCCGCUGGAGGCUCUAGUCGCCGGCGAGGCCCGGCCAACGCCUGUGGAACAAGCGAAGCGCAUCAACCGCAGCAGAGGGAGUCGUGCUCGACGUUGGUGUGUGGUGCUAGUGUGCGCGCGGCUGUGGAGGAGUCACAAUUAGUCGACCAAACCCCUCAGGGUAAGGUCGGCGAUGACGAGUUGACAGUGCCAUGGGUGCAGGUGAGUGCACCGCAAGCGCCGCUUGGCCUUGCCGAGGUGCGGGUGGUGGGCAUGUACGGCUGCUGGACUGUUGAGGAGAUUCUACGACACACUCUUUUUGCCCCGACAGUGCACACCUCCUCUGACCCUGAUAGGGCGGCAGGCACUGCCGCAACGCAGAAUUCGCCAGCACGAGAGGCGAAUGUGGAGAAAGUGCUGCGUCGCGCCGCACCGCACGGUGUUCCAUCGUCGACGCUGGUGAACACUGCCUUCUUUGAGAAGCAGGUGGGCGACAAGGAGCAGUGCCACACGUACUUCGCCUUGUGCCGUCUCUUUGCUCACGGGAUGCGAAGGUGCAUCUUGGGCGACACGUCAGACAAGGCGGCGGUGACGAGCACGGGAGGCCACGCUGCGUGCGAACAGACCUCCGCGGAUGACGAGGUGCCCGACGAGCCAUCACAGCAGACGGGCGAGGCGUCGACGGAGCGCCAGAGAGCGGACCCGGCUUGGCAAGACUUCAUAGGCGCCCUCUCUGGAGGUGCGUCGGCGAUGUCGGCUUUUGGCGACCUCGCCAACUGCUUUCUUAUUCGCUUCUCGAACAUUCCGCAGCUGCAGCUGUGCCGGCAAAUCCGGCGCAUGCUGACGGAGCUGCAAGGCAUAUAUCCGACUCCGCCGUCGCUGGAGGGCUUCCAGGCCGCGCAGCGCCAGCGAAACAUGGCGGCCAUGUCAAAGAAGAUCGGCGCUAGCAACGGCGCAGGCACCGGGGCUGCUCAGGGAGGGGACCAAAGUGCUCAUCGUAGCCCUCCGCUGAAAUGCCGCAACGGCGAUGAGGACACUACUGCGCCGCCGAGACUUCAGGGAGAAAAUGAGGCCUCCCUGAUGGACAGCACUGGCGCGCCGCCGUCUGCUGUCGCGAAGACGGAUGCCAAGCAGCAACACGAAGGCGUCACCAUCGCUAAGCGAUGCGGAAAGCCUGCAGUCCUGCCGCUGUCGCUCGACCCCGAGGCAAUCGCCGAGCGUCCGCAUCAGCUGUGUGAGAGGGAGCGACUGGAGCGGGACGGAUUCUGCUGUUACGCGUCGCACGGCCUGGUCGUGUUCCGGCUCAGCCGGGCCGCAGUCGCCCGCGCGCUGGACCAGCUGAGCUUUGCGCCUCUACACGACUCCGUCGAGGCGCUCUGUGUUACCUUGACGGCUGCCGCACCGCCUCCGCUGACUUACCGUGGCGAGCUGCGACCACCAGCGAGGCUGCGAGCGCGCACGAUGGCAGCCGCAGCAGCAGAUGCGAGCGGCUCAGGCGAGGAGGUGGAGGACGGAGACGCCAAGGUGAGAGGCGGCGCCGUGACAAGCGCUGAGGCGCACUCUCCAGAUGCCCUUGCGAACAUGUACAACAAUGCAGUGCGGUACUCCUCCUCCUGCGCGACUGGAUUCUCGAUGGAGCCGUUGUGGCCGAUAAAGCUGGACGGCGCUUCGUGGGCGACACACGCGACGGCGCUCGAGGACACGCCUGAUGAGUUGAUCGGUGUCCUUCCGCGUAACUCGAUUGAGCAACGUCGCGGACGUCUGCUCCCGCUGCGUGGUGUCGUCAUGUCAGAGGGAGCGGCGGCAGCAGCCAAUGGUGCUUGCAACGGAGGGGCUGCGCAUCAAGGUUGCAGUUCCGGCACAUCUGCACCGUCACAGCCCCAUCAGCAGCGCCACAGUCAGUCUGCAUUGUCUUCGACACCCGCGUGCGCGUUGUUUCAGGUGGAUGUGUACACGGUCUCUUCUGAAUUGGACGGCAUGCCAUUUCGCGAAUUGGUGGAGAUGAUGCACCAGGAGCAGCAGCAGCGUUGGCAGUCGACAGCCUGCGGCGCCUCACCGGAGAGCACGCUGCGCUUGAUGAUUGAGUCGGUGGAUGCUCAAGGCAACGUUGAGCCGGACAGCGUGUUGAACUGGAGCCCGAUGUCGGCGCUCGGCUCGCUGCGGUGGAAGCGGGCCCUGGCGGCGGCGGGGCGCGGGUAUGCUGGAGCCAGUGUGGAUCGCAGCGAUGCGGCUGCCGAGGUGGCUGACAUGCGAAGCAUGUCGACACUGUCGGCAAACGUGCCGGGAUCGCAAGGGGUUGUCUCCAUCUUUGUGCGUGAGCCGGAGCGCAUUUUGCACACCGGCGACAGGAUUCGUUUUUCACCACACCGUGGUGGGUCGCCGAACUCUGGCGGGCGCAACUCUCCCAUGGCCGCUUCAGGCAGUGGCACCCCACACACCCGGUCACGCGUCGGAGGCAACGCGACCUCGGGAACCUCACAGUACGGCUACUGGUAUGUCGAUGACAACUUGACCACGGAGGACAUGAUCUUGUCGUGGAUGCGCCGCGUCGGUGGCCGCGCUCGCGAGACCUGCGGCACAGAUACUAAGUGGGUGCGCUUCCCCGAGCCCGUGCUGCAGGUCCUGCUGCGCUUCGCGCACACGUGCCGCCAGCAGCCGGGCGGUGGAUGGCUCGUCACGGGACAUGCGCUACGUCCUCUGCAUCCGGCCGACGAGGAGCUGGUGGAGCCGGACCUUCUGCAGAACUACCCGGACAUUUUGCGCACGCGCCGCUUCCGGCAGUGGCGCUUUUCACACGACGGCUACGUCUACUUUCAUGGCGUCACUGUGCGAAUCCCGGGCUCCUCUCCGCUGCCGUCGCACCCGCCACCCGCGGCAGUCAUGACCGCCUCAGCGUACCAUGCAGCGAUCCACAAUCGCGGCGAGAUGACCUUUGGCAUGUGUGGCAGACGCAGUCCAGGCUUGGCUGUCGUGUCGAGUGCCCGUGCCGCUUUCGAGCCUCCGCAGCAGCAGUCGGUGGUGCCGCCGCAAAGUUCCGUGAUGCAGUACGGUGAGGAAUCACCGCCGUCGGACGUUAUGCCACAUUGUGGUAGCGGAGGAGGCGGAGGCGGCCAGUACGGUGCCGGCGCUGCCACUGGCGGACCCGCAUACUAUGCAAAUCAAGCGAUGUAUCCUAUCAUGGGUGGCAGCGCCGGUGGCAGUGGUAGCAUGCCUAGAAAGCAUUAUGACCCCUCGAUGGCAUCUCAGCAGCUGCAUCCGUGCCUUUCAGUACUGCCUCAACAUCAGCAGUUCUCUCAGCACGUGCCCCAGCAGUAUUCACCGCAGCAACUUUCACAGAAAAAGCAGCACGUCGGCGGCGCUUCUCUUCACCACACAAUGCAGCAACAACAGACGGUGCCACAGCCACUGCAGCAGCGGCAGCAGCAGCACAGAGGGCCGGAGGCACAUUAUGCAUGCACUGCCCACUCUUCUAUGGUGGGUGGCAGUGAACAGGAAGCGACGCCAUCCGGCUACUACGGUAAUUCCUCGUCCAGCGCGGCCGAAGGGGCGGGCGGGGCGAGGCCUGCGACGCCAAAUACAAUGAAUGGGCUCUACCUCAACGAGACUGAUCUUCUGCAUAGCAACGCCGCUGCCACCAGCAGCAGCAGCAACCAGCAGCCGGAGUACCAGCCCAGAGGCUACCAUAGCCGCCAUGCUGAUGGUGCGAGUUUCAGCGAAGGAAUGCCCAGCGGUGAUGCAGGGUUCUUCGUCGAUUACCCUGACGGCACGUUUUACGAGUCCUCGGACAGAGCGCACUCUGCCGCCACAAUGGUGGUACCGGCACAGGUGACGAGUAGCUUCUACGGGGGUAUCUACAACCCAUCUGUAGAGCAGCCGCCCCACACGCCGCAGCAGCAACAGCAGCAGCAGCGGUACAGGUCUCAGGUGCAUUCGCCAUUCAAUGUUUGCGAACCGGCCAGCGGCGAUGCGAGUGGGUCGCGGCGCACUGACAACACGCUUCUGGCCUACGGACUACCGCCAAACGUGUCUGGCGUCGUGCCCCCUGGCGAAGAAGUACCGAACCCGCCGAUUACAGUUGCCGGGUGCGGGCGAGAUCAGGAGGAAGCUACAACUUCGUCCUCGGAGCCAUUUAUGAUGCAUGUGGCGAGCGGCGACCAUCAGCACCAGCAACACUCCCGGCAGCAGCCUCACUCAUCGAUGCUUCCACCGCCGUCUGCGCCAGCUCCUCCUCCUCCGCCGCAGCAGCCGAUGAAUCUCUCCUUACACGGGGAAGGCGACCGGGCGGGCCACGCGGCCGAGCGGCGCACAACAGACGACUAUCCACCUCGCCGGAGCCCCACCACAAUCCUCGCAGCCACAGCUGUGACCGUAUCGGCAGCAAAGCCAACGCCUCAGACGUUGAUUAUCCAGACGCUACGCGGCACUCACGCGACUGCGGGUCAUCGUGCGCCGCCAGUAGCGGCUUUUGCUCCUGAAGUUAUCGACCCCUCGCCUCUCAGCUCCAGCGGAGGCAACACAUGCCCGGUGAUGACGCCGAAAGACCGCACCGCCGAAGGCGCCGACAGUGGAGCCGAUAUUGUGAACGAUUGCAGCACGUCUAGCCAGCCGACUCGAGCGCGUGCGGUGCCGGUCUGCAAUCCAGAUUUUUCAUCCACCACGCAGCAGAUGCGUGUCGGCGCACAACAAGUGUACCAGCAGCCUCAGCAACAACAGCAGCCGCUACAACAAGCUCAGGCACCUCCGCCGCGUUCGCCUCAGCUGGCAUCCGGCCCUGGCUCGUUCCGCGACACCAUCACCACGGAUGUAAUUGAGGCGGACAGCAUCACCGUGCGCGUCAUGCAGCGCAAGCCGUCGAUGGCUCGCCAAUCAUCGUACAACGGGGCUACCGGUGGAGCAGCAGCGUCCGGCUAUAGGACCAGCAGCGGUGCCUUCGGAAACUCAUCCAACGUUGCUGGUGACGGCGGCGCCCCAGACGCCUUCUCGCCCUCGUCGAUGGGCUACGGUGCUAUGGGGGUGUCACCUUCUGGUGGUCUUGAAAGCAUGCGAGACGAAGCGAACUCCGUACACCGCAAGACCGGCGGUGUCUCAGCCAACGACAGCCGAGCUGCACCGGAGCUCCGGUCCUAUAGGCUGUCUCAAGUGCGGACCUCGACCACAGGGCAGCAAGUGGCUUCUGGACGUAGCACAGCUGCUGCCUUUGCGGUUCCUCAGCUUCAGCGGCAGAGCAGCAUGAUGGGUUCUUCAUUGCCCACGCAGCGGACGAGUCAGCGCAUCUCACACAAUCCGUACACAACUGCUGGCGCCCUGUGUGUCACACCGCUAGCAACCGCUGCGGGGUUGUCGAUUCACUCACAGGGUGGCGCUGGCGGCUGUAAGGCUGGCAGCAACGGGCAACAUGACUCCUUUGCAGACGCACUCGACAACCGCUACGGCAGCGCCAGCGACUUCAACGCCAGCGUUUCUGCCUUUCCACUGAGCCUUGCACACAACGCCAACAGUACGACGCAUGGUACGUACUACUCGCGGUGUGCAGGCGACCCGGCAGGGUUCAGGAGCAGCCCUGCAACCUCUCAGCGACCAAGUCUCUACCCGUCGCAACGCGCUACAGGCGAUGUGGACGACUCGUCCCGCGCGGAUCAACAACAAGAGGGGCGACAUGAGUCAUACGCGUCCUUCUAUGAAGGUGCCGAGGGUGCACCGGCGCCGACACACUACUCCGACAUUUACCACAAUGCCGCCGCUGAUGGCACGACGCAGGGCUUCUUCUUCUCCAUGGGCGAGUACGAGGAGACCGGCAACUCCGCAGAGGAGCUGUACGGCGGUAGCCCCGACUAUCAGUAUCAGAGUUCCCCAGGCUGUGCGCUGCAACUGGAAGGGAGGCCGGAUAAGGGUGCCGGGCGUGGAGGCAGUGCCUACGGAGGGGUGCCUCUGCCAACUCGUAACAUGCACUACCAACAACUGCAGCAGCGCAACGUGGGUGGCGGUAAGGCGUGUAAUGGUGGCGCGUACGAGGACAGUACUCCAACGAGUGCGCUUCCGCAUUCCUCACAGCCUCAUCAGCAACACGCUUACAGCCCAACAUCGGCAGCUUUUCAACGGCAUUAAGUCAAGAGGUGCGGUGAGAGCGUCUUUGUCUUGCACCACAUGUCUCGCUGAGUCGCGCGCUCACCUGCGAGCGAUAUAAGCCAUCCUCAGAUGCGCGAGCCGCCAGCCCUCUGUGGGCACGUGGGAUGCUCUUGCAGGCUUUUUUUCCCUUCGGCUGCUUAUCUGCUUUUCUUGUGAGUGCAACUGAACUGGGAGAACGUUGCACUGCUGAGUAUUGCUCGCCGCCGCCGCUGUCCUCCUUUCCUUUCUCUGUUCUCCGUUCUCCCUCUAGGCCUCCUCCCCACCACUCGCCGACCGUAAGGCCGUCUGCGAUGCUCUCCGCACCUCUUCCUGUGCGCCUUUUCCACACGCAUGUGCGUGCUCUUCUCUGCAGGCGCCAUUCAGCUGCUUGCUGGGCGAGAGGGAGGUGGUGGUGCAGUCGUGUUCAUGGGUUGGGUGGCCUGCACGAGUUGAAGUGCCGCGAACGCAUCGCUCCCUUCUGCUUUCCUUUGUGCGUGUUCUCAUCGCAAGCCGUGGUGAUAAUGCCGGCCACUUUCAUGUGUGGCAUCGAGGGCCCCGCGCCUCACACGCCGUGGGGGGAGGAGAGGGGGGAGGCCAGGCAACCUGCAGCCUGCCCUCGGGUACGGCUGCGGACUCUUGCCGUUGGCGGACAGACCUGGGCUGGCGCUGUGCCAAAGAGACGUGCGGUGAUGCUGACGUUUGUGCCCGCUCACUAGGCAUGGUGUCGGCGGCUCGACAACUACGGAAACACCGACUCGUGUGAAAGGCGUGCAGAGUCCGGAGCGGGCGUCGUGCCCCUGCGGCCAUGGACUCCGACGAACAUCUCGCCUGCCGCGGCACAUGCGGGCAGGCGAUUCAUCGACGCCCGAGGUGGCAUCGAUGGAGAUGGACGAUGCGGGCAGCGACCCCCCUCCCCCGGGCAGCGGCGUUGUGAGGCGUGCGCCAAGGUGCAGAGGCGCUGCUGCUGUGCACAGGCACUGUGAAGCGGAGCUGGCACGGUGCAUGGCGCGACCGAGUCCUGUGGGCGCCGAUGUGGAGUGCCGCGGCACGAGGCGACUGAGGGCGAAGCGUGGCGCACAGGCAGAGCGCGCGUGGCCUGCGAGGGCCGUGGCGUGCAGCUGGCCAGCUUCCUCCUCGGGCUGGCCCGGCGUCCGUGCGCCUAGCCGACCCCCUGCUGCCCGCGCGACCGACGCCACCGCCUCCGCCCUGGAGCAGGACCGUGGACGUGGACGGCGUGGAUGGAGGCGCGCGGUCCGGCCGAGCCGGUGUUGCGCCGGUGGCGCAGCGGGUGUGCGAGGAAGAGGGCCGAGGAGGGACAGGAGGAGCCCGUGAGACGCACGGCCCGCCUCGACGGCAUGACGGCUCGCGCUAGAGGGCCCGGAUGCAGCCGUGGCGCGGCAGGGGCAGGAGAGAGGUGUGGCUGUGCGCGUAUGUCUGCUGGCGUGCUCGUCAUAAGGUGAACACCUUGGGGGUGUAAAAGGCCGUUUGCAUGUGCUUCAUGGCAUAUUGUAUUGAUAGGGGGCUUAUUCUCUCUUUGUUUUCCUCCACAGUUCGGACUUGGGGACCCUUUCCUCGUUUGUGGACAGCUUCUUCGGAUGUCUACGCUUUUGUGAGAGUGUGCGUGGGGUCGGGUGGGGCUCGCGUUGCGCGUGCCUGUCGCGCGUUAGCGUCAUGUGAUCAUCGCCCCUCAUCCUUUCCUGUCUGUUGCACACUGUGUGUGCGUGGAGGGGGGUGGCUGUGCAACUCUGUUCGCCUGGUAGGGCGUGCGCGGUGGAUUAUGUUGACUGCAGAAAGGAUGACGGGUGCACAGCGAAGCUACACGGUAGCGGGGAAUCAUCUCAAUUCGUUCUUGUGAGUCUGUGUUGGUAUCUUUUCUCUGCUGCUGGCAGCCCUUUGCGCGUUUCAUCUGGUGGCUUCUCUCUUCUGUUUUAGUCGUCAAUGCAUGCGCGCGUGUGGUAUUUCUCCGCUCUCUGUGUGCAGUCCCCGUGCCGGUCGGACCGAAGAGUGCGGGAGCCUCUCAUCACGCGCUCUCAGGCGCGCGCGCAUUGAACGGGUGGGCGCGUGUUCAGCUCCUUGCGUUCAUUGCCAAGCGUGUGCUCGCUCUUGCUUAGCUUGACCUUCGUUUUUUCUGUUUGGCCCUCUCCCUUGCUGUCAGGUGCACAAAAUCUCGGACUUUUCUCGGUGGACCAAGGCGACGGGCACCAUGACCCAGACGUCUCAGGAUAGCGUUAUUCCGCUGAUACGUGUGCAGCUGCCAGUGCUUUUUUUCCUUGCUUGCUUCAUUUCUGGCGGGCUUCUCUUGCUUUCCAUUUGUUGUUCGUUGUAUUGUGUCGGUGCGCUGGCGCCGACUGCACGUGCAAGCGUAAGCCCCUUCCCCUCCCUAUGCAUGGCGCGGAUGUAUGGCUCUUGCGCGUCGUCUUCUCAACUCCCUCUUCUCCGUCUUCUUCAAUGACCUGUAGUGAUACUUUCUCCGUCGCUGUCUUUUAUUUCCGCAUGCCUUGCCUGCGGACCACAUGUGCACAGAAACGCUGAGCAAAGAAAAAAAGAAAAGUGCAUGCCCAUCUCGGCUUCUUCACAACAGAACACGUUCUCCUGUGUCUUUCCCAUUCUUCUCUCUUUCUUUUUCGCACGCGUGCGCGCGCCUCUGCAGUCGGGUGCGCCUUUCUCCGGAUGCUCGAGUGUUGUAAAUUGGCUUUCUUCCUCCCUCUCUCUGCUGCGUGUAGCGGCGUCCCGGCGCGAGGGAGCACGCGCAUGUGGGCGUGCUGUUGCAUUUUGUGGCGCCGGUGUCCCUUCAUUUUGUUUGGUAUUCUCAUUUUUGUUCUUUUUUUGCCGUUGUUGUUCCGUUCGUCCCUUUCUUCCUUCUCUCCUUCUCUCCCGCCCAUCGUCUCUUCUUUCCGCCCCGUCUUGUUGCUCAUCUGCAGGGGAGAUGGCAGCCGGCUUGCUCUCUCUAUCUUUAUUUUUUGUCCUUGUCACUGUCUAUGUGCUGUCGCACGCUGCCGUCUUGUGGAAUGCUUACAUCUUCGUCUCGGACGAAGCGCUCCUUGUCUGGCGCCAUGCGGUGGGCUGGAAGGCACCCCUGUGUGUCCGGCAGCGCCCGCGCCUCUGCCCUCCCUCUUCCUGCUCUGCUGCUGCCCGUGCUGUCGUUCCUGACGACGGUCUUCUUUUUGGUCACCUGGACGGAGGCACACAUGGAUAAGAAAACAUCGUGGACAGCAGCGCACGCAGCGCGAAUGAGCGCAAGAAAGAGAGGUGUAUGCGCUCGGGGGGGGGGGGGUGCAUCCUUGUGUGUCGACGUGCCACUGGUGUUGAGGAUGGAUUCACAAAGGGGCCAGAAGCGGAAAGCCAUCGUUGACCCUUCCAAGCUUGCAGAUUUUUUUUGUGUUUACUGUCGAAUGACUUUCCGAGUAAUAUAGUUGUUGCUGCCGCCCCGACGCUGUUUGAGAAGGCUGCAUCUGCCUUUGCAGGAGUUACUCGUACCUGAUGGAACACCAUAUUGAGAACGACGUCUACCGUGAUAUGAUGCGUCAGUGCACGGGCGCGCACGUGUACAAGGUACCCCUCUGCACGAUUUUUUUGUUGCGGCAUGCAUUGGUGAUUAUGCUUUAAGCCUUCGUGAAUGGGCUUGUGGGCCCGUAUCUGUUUCGAGUAGACCCGCAAUUUGCCGAUAGAAAAGAAACAUAACCGCGAAAGAUGUGUAGCGCCUGUGCCGUUUUUCGGACCCGGCUCCUCUUUUUGCUCAAGUGACACAGGAGGGAGCCCUCCCUUCCCCG
rnacentral:misc_RNA from 1 species